UCUGUCUGUGCCACUUUUUUGAGGCCUUG
rnacentral:piRNA from 1 species